UACGGAGGGUGCAAGCGUUAUCCGGAUUCACUGGGUUUAAAGGGAGCGUAGGUGGCUUUGUAAGUCAGUGGUGAAAUGUCGCGGCUCAACCGCGAAACUGCCAUUGAUACUGCUUAGCUUGAAUCGCGUCGAGGUGGAUGGAAUAUUACAUGUAGCGGUGAAAUGCUUAGAUAUGUAAUAGAACACCGAUUGCGAAGGCAGUUCACUAGGCGUGUAUUGACACUGAGGCUCGAAAGCGUGGGGAUCAAACAGG
rnacentral:rRNA from 1 species